rnacentral:rRNA from 1 species
UACGUAGGGUGCAAGCGUUGUCCGGAAUUAUUGGGCGUAAAGAGCUCGUAGGCGGUCUGUUACGUCGGCUGUGAAAACCUGGGGCUCAACCCCGGGCCUGCAGCCGAUACGGGCAGACUAGAAUUCGGUAGGGGAGACUGGAAUUCCUGGUGUAGCGGUGAAAUGCGCAGAUAUCAGGAAGAACACCAAUGGCGAAGGCAGCUCUCUGGGACGGUACUGACGCUGAGACGCGAAAGCGUGGGGAGCGAACAGG